rnacentral:rRNA from 1 species
ACUCCUACGGGAGGCAGCAGUGGGGAAUUUUGCGCAAUGGGCGAAAGCCUGACGCAGCGACGCCGCGUGUGCGAUGAAGGCCUUUGGGUCGUAAAGCACUGUCGGUCGGGACGAAAACCAGCGGGCUAAUACCUCGUUGGCUUGACGGUACCGGCAAAGGAAGCACCGGCUAACUCUGUGCCAGCAGCCGCGGUAAU